rnacentral:rRNA from 1 species
GUCCGCACCGUAAACGAUGAUUACUCGCUGCUAGAUGGCAACAUUUAGUGGCUUAGCGAAAGCGAUAAGUAAUCCACCUGGGGAGUACGCCGGCAACGGUGAAACUCAAAGGAAUUGACGGGGGCCCCGCACAAGCGGAGGAGCAUGUGGUUUAAUUCGAUGAUACGCGAGGAACCUUACCAGGGCUUGAAAGUUAGGGAAUAACUCUGAAAGGAGUUAGUCAGCAAUGACCCGAAACUAGGUGCUGCAUGGCUGUCGU